AAUCUUCCACAAUGGACGGAAGUCUGAUGGAGCAACGCCGCGUGAGCGAAGAAGGUUUUCGGAUCGUAAAGCUCUGUUGUAAGGGAAGAACACGUACGGGAGUCACUGCCCGUACCUUGACGGUACCUUAUCAGAAAGCCACGGCCAACCACGUGCCAGCCGCCGCAGUAAUACGUCGGUGGCAAGCGGUGCCCGGAAUUAUUGGACGUAAAGCGCGCGCAGGCCGUCCUUUAAGUAUGAUGUGAAAGCCCACGGCUCAACCGUGGAAGGUCAUUGGAAACUGGAGGACUUGAGUACAGAAGAGGAAAGCGGGAUUCCACGUGUAGCGGUGAAAUGCGUAGAGAUGUGGAGGAACACCAGUGGCGAAGGCGGCUUUCUGGUCUGUAACUGACGCUGAGGCGCGAAAGCGUGGGGAGCAAACA
rnacentral:rRNA from 1 species